AGUGAACGCUGGCGGUAGGCCUAACACACGCAAGUCGAACGGCAGCACAGUAAGAGCUUGCUCUUACGGGUGGCGAGUGGCGGACGGGUGAGGAAUACAUCGGAAUCUACUUUUUCGUGGGGGAUAACGUAGGGAAACUUACGCUAAUACCGCAUACGACCUACGGGUGAAAGCAGGGGAUCUUCGGACCUUGCGCGAUUGAAUGAGCCGAUGUCGGAUUAGCUAGUUGGCGGGGUAAAGGCCCACCAAGGCGACGAUCCGUAGCUGGUCUGAGAGGAUGAUCAGCCACACUGGAACUGAGACACGGUCCAGACUACUACGGGAGGCAGCAGUGGGGAAUAUUGGACAAUGGGCGCAAGCCUGAUCCAGCCAUACCGCGUGGGUGAAGAAGGCCUUCGGGUUGUAAAGCCCUUUUGUUGGGAAAGAAAAGCAGCAGGUUAAUACCCCGCUGUUCUGACGGUACCAAAAGAAUAAGCACCGGCUAACUUCGUG
rnacentral:rRNA from 1 species